CCUACGGGAGGCAGCAGUGGGGAAUAUUGCACAAUGGGCGAAAGCCUGAUGCAGCAACGCCGCGUGAGCGAUGAAGGCCUUCGGGUCGUAAAGCUCUGUCCUCAAGGAAGAUAAUGGCGGUACUUGAGGAGGAAGCCCCGGCUAACUACGUGCCAGCAGCCGCGGUAAUACGUCGGGGGCUAGCGUUAUCAGGAAUUACUGGGCGCAAAGGGGGCGUAAGUGGUUUCUUAAGUCAGAGGUGAAAGGCUACGGGUAAACCGUAGUAAGCCUUUGAAACUGGGGAACUUGAGUGCAGGAGAGGAGAGUGGAAUUCCUAGUGUAGCGGUGAAAUGCGUAGAUAUUAGGAGGAACACCAGUGGCGAAGGCGGCUCUCUGGACUGUAACUGACACUGAGGCACGAAAGCGUGGGGAGCAAACAGGAUUAGAUACCCGUGUAGUC
rnacentral:rRNA from 1 species